UGAUUCUAAAUAGGCUGAUCUUACAGGACUAGACCACAGGAUUUAGUGUUUGAGGAUGAGGAUCAUGAUGCUUCUGCCCAUCUCGGAGGUUGAGGAGCACAGUGUGGAAGCUGGAGGAGAUGAACAUGCAUCCUCUGGGGUGGGUGGGGCAUUACAAUUUUUUUUAUUUUUUUUUGUUGAUAGCAAUAGGCCUAUUUCACAAUAUGGCGACCGAGAUCGGAAGUAGGGUAGCGGUACUUCCGGUCGCGCACCACUACGAUCGCCAUUCAUAAUCAUAAUGGACUGCGAACAACUUGUUUUCUCCCAGUCGAUAAAUUAUCUGCCAAAAGUCAGAAUAGCAGAUGUUGUCCGUUUUGUUGACAAUUUGCAGGGAGAUGUGAAAAGAUCCAAAUUGCACAAAGGCUACAAAUUCUUUUUUGAGCAAUUUAUUUUUGAUUAUCAGGGUAUGUAUAAUGAGCCAGUUGCCAUGACACUGCUUUUUUUGAACUGAUUACUUUUAUGGUUUUAUGGAUGAUUUUCAAA